rnacentral:lncRNA from 1 species
AAAACUCUUCAUUCCUGCAUGCUACAACGCUAACUCCCGCAAAGCUCUUUGCAGCCCCAAACUUUUGGGGCCCUUAUUCUAAAACUCUCUAUUGUAAUAUUUCUGUAUU